CAUGACCUUGCGGUGCAUUAGCUAGUUGGUGGGGUAAUAGCCUACCAAGGCCAUGAUGCAUAGCCGACCUGAGAGGGUGAUCGGCUACAUUGGGACUGAGACACGGCCCAAACUCCUACGGGAGGCAGCAGUAGGGAAUCUUCCGCAAUGGACGCAAGUCUGACGGAGCAACGCCGCGUGAGUGAAGAAGGUUUUCGGAUUGUAAAACUCUGUUAUAAGAGAAGAACAAGUUGUAGAGUAACUGUUGCAGCUUUGACGGUAUCUUAUCAGAAAGCCACGGCUAACUACGUGCCAGCAGCCGCGGUAAUACGUAGGUGGCAAGCGUUGUCCGGAUUUAUUGGGCGUAAAGGGAGCGCAGGUGGUUUCUUAAGUCUGAUGUGAAAGCCCACGGCUCAACCGUGGAGGGUCAUUGGAAACAGGGAAACUUGAGUACAGAAGAGGAAAGUGGAAUUCCAUGUGUAGCGGUGGAAUGCGUAGAUAUAUGGAGGAACACCAGUGGCGAAGGCGACUUUCUGGUCUGUUACUGACACUGAGGCUCGAAAGCGUGGGGAGCAAACAGGAUUAGAUACCCUGGUAGUCCACGCC
rnacentral:rRNA from 1 species